CCAAAAAAGGGGCUCUUCACCGACGACCUGCACCGGCUGGUGGACGAGUGGGUCCAGGACACGGCCAGGGCCCAGGCCACCUCCUCCUGGGUCUCCACCCUGCGCGGCACUCGUGGGACCCCCCGAAAAUGGGGGGAGCUGCCCCCCCCAAAACCUGCCCUGCGUGGGGGGGGCAGCCCCCUCCCCCCGGGGGCAGAGUGAGGGGGGCCCCAGACCCUGACCCCUCCAACACCCAGAUUUUGGGUCAAACUUCCAAUUUUCAGCCCCGAAAUUGCUUUGUUUCACCCCAAAACCCCCUUGUUUUACCCCCCUCCCUGCAUUUGGUGACCCCAAAUUUCCAGCCCUAAAAUGACCUCGUUUCACCUCAAACUUCCCCUUAUUUUGGGUCCUGUGCUGUGACCCCUAUUUCUGGCCCCAAAAUUGCCUUAUUUUGCCCUAAAAUUUCCCCUUUUUUGCUGCCCAUGUGGGCUGAACCCACUUUUUGGCCUCAAUUCACCCCCAAAAUCCCCUUUUUAGGAUACUCAAGCGCCCCGAACCCCAAUUUCUGGCCCCAAAACCACCUCAUUUUGACCCCAAAUCCCCCCUUUUUGGCUCCAAAAUCUCUCUAUUGUAUCCCAACCCCACCUUUUUUUGGGUCAUUCCCCCUUUGCAAGGUGACCGCACUUCCUGGUGCCCCAAAUCCCCUUGUUUCACUCCAAAACUCCCCUUUUUUGUGCCCUGCCCAUCCCAGUUUUCUGCCCUAAAUCCCUCAUUCUACCCCAAAAUCCCCUUUUUUGGGCCUUUCCCUCUCUGCAUGAGGUGUCCCCAUUUUUUAGCCCCCAAAUCACCUCAUUUCACCCCAAAAAAUCUCAUUUUUUGUGGCCUUUCCACUACUCUUUUUCACCUCCCCAAAUGUGAUGCCACUUGUUGGCCCCAAAAUUGCCUUGUUUCACCCCAAAACCCCUUUUUUGGGCCUAUCUCCCCUUUUUUUACCCCUCCCACAACAUUACCCCUGGUUUUGCUCCCCAAAUCGCAUAAUUUCAUCCGAAAAAGUCUCUUUUAGGGCCUGCCCUUCCCCCACAGGGUAUCAUCCCUAUUUUCAUCCCCAAAAUCUCCUCAUUUCACACAAAAAUCCCUUUUUUUGGGCCUUGUCACUCUUCUUUCCCCACAUGAAGCAACCCAAAUUUUUAGCCCCUAAAUGGCCUUGUUUUGCCCUAAAACUCAAACAGUUGAACCCCAACCUUUCAUUUAUCUAAAAAUUCUUUUUUUUUCCUCUCAAAACACUCCAGAGCCCCCAAAAUUCUCAUUUUUCACCCAAAGCCCCUCACAGGCCUGGAAUUUCUCCCAAUGUGACCACAGCGGAGGCAGGUGGGCUGUACUGGGUUUACUGGUGACCCACCCCGCCCAUACUGGUCAUACUGGUGCAACAACCCCCUCUCAUUCCUGUACCCCUCCCUCAGCCCAUUUUUGGGUCAUUUUGUCGUGUUUUCCUCUCAUCUACCUCACCCCUUCACCAAGCCAGCGAGGUUUCGGGGUGAAUUCUCGAGUGUUCUUGUUCGAGAGGGUGGGGAAGGCGUUUGUUUUGUGGGGAAAUUGUUAAAAAGCGCGGGGGAAAAAAAAAAAAAAUCCUAAAAUGUGAGAAAUAAAAGCGUGGCUGGUGCGCGCCACUCCCAACA